rnacentral:rRNA from 1 species
GACGAACGCUGGCGGCGUGCUUAACACAUGCAAGUCGAACGGAAAGGCCCUGUUUUUGUGGGGUGCUCGAGUGGCGAACGGGUGAGUAACACGUGAGUAACCUGCCCUUGACUUUGGGAUAACUUCAGGAAACUGGGGCUAAUACCGGUUAGGAGCUCCUGCUGCAUGGUGGGGGUUGGAAAGUUUCGGCGGUUGGGGUUGGACUCGCGGCUUAUCAGCUUGUCGGUGGGGUAGUGGCUUACCUAGGCUUUGACGGGUAGCCGGCCUGAGAGGGUGACCGGCCACAUGGGGACUGAGAUACGGCCCAGACUCCGACGGGAGGCAGCAGUGGGGAAUAUUGCACUAUGGGCGGAAGCCUGAUGCAGCAACGCCGCGUGCGGGAUGGCGGCCUUCGGGUUGUAGACCGCUUUCGCCUGUGACGAAGCGGGAGUGACGGUAAUGGGUGAAGAAGCACCGGCUAACUACGUG